rnacentral:rRNA from 1 species
UAGGUAACCUGCCCCGGAGCGGGGGAUAACAUUUGGAAACAGAUGCUAAUACCGCAUAACAAUAAAAGCCGCAUGGCUUUUAUUUGAAAGAUGGCUUUGGCUAUCACUCUGGGAUGGACCCGCGGUGCAUUAGCUAGUUGGUAAGGUAACGGCUUACCAAGGCGAUGAUGCAUAGCCGAGUUGAGAGACUGAUCGGCCACAAUGGAACUGAGACACGGUCCAUACUCCUACGGGAGGCAGCAG